GGGGAAUUCUGCACAAUGGGCGCAAGCCUGAUGCAGCCAUGCCGCGUGUAUGAAGAAGGCCUUCGGGUUGUAAAGUACUUUCAGCGGGGAGGAAGGUGUUGUGGUUCAUAACCGCAGCAAUCGACGACACCCGCAGAAGAAGCAUCGGCUAACCCCGUGCCAGCAGCCGCGGUAAUACGGAGGGUGCAAGCGUUAAUCGGAAUUACUGGGCGUAAAGCGCACGCAGGCGGUCUGUCAAGUCGGAUGUGAAAUCCCCGGGCUCAACCUGGGAACUGCAUUCGAAACUGGCAGGCUAGAGUCUUGUAGAGGGGGGUAGAAUUCCAGGUGUAGCGGUGAAAUGCGUAGAGAUCUGGAGGAAUACCGGUGGCGAAGGCGGCCCCCUGGACUGAUACUGACACUGAGGUGCGAAAGCGUGGGGAGCAAACA
rnacentral:rRNA from 1 species